GACACAGAGAGGUACAACGGGACGUGGAGUUGGAUCGAGCUGUCUCGUAAGGAAUAUCGGAAGGGGUGGGGACACUACUGGGAGAUGGCAUAGGUCCAGGACACUAAUUAGGCUUUGGCUGAGAUCAGAUAAAGGAAACUGUUCGUAAGCUGCUUACUUAAAAAGAAAGGAAAAGGUGCGUUUGAGUUCAGGAGACUGCGAGUCCCAGAGCAGGAGGCGGGAGCCAGCGAAGGGUGGGCGUGUAAGGGGUGCAGUCGCUUCUCCCGCUGGGCAAGAGACUCCCCCUUUCGGCAGCCUGGGUUCCCCGCCUCCCCACCUCCUGCUCCUCCUCCCCCGAGCCCUAAGGGCCCGCAGGGCCUCCAGUAGCAAAGCCACUGGCCCCGCGUCCCCGCGUCCCCCUGCGCCGCGCCCCGGGGCGCAGGCAGGGACCACGCGGCCGGCGUGGGGGCGGCGCCACCCGCAGCAGAAAGCCCCGGCGUGGACCGCGUGGCGUAGGAAAGCGCUCCCCUCGCCCCCAGCCGCAGAGGGCUUGGGCAGCAUCGGGCGCGGCCCCGGGAGAGUGCGUCCGCGGCGCCAGCGGCUGCAGGGUGACCUGUUUCGGGCGGGGACACUCACCAGAAGAACACGCGUGAGCAGAGGCUAGUCAAGUGAAGCAGUGGGAGUGGAAAAGGAGCAAAGAAAUCUGUAACUGGUUGUGAUUCCAUGAACUUUUUGAAAUCCCCUUGUAUUGGCUUCCUUCCCUCUUCUGUCUUACUUCUCUACUCCCUACAAGUGUUUUCUGGGAUCACCUCCAAAUAAACUACUUGCAAUCUAAUCCUGUCUCAAGUCUGCUGCUGUGGGAACCCAAACUAAGACACCUGCAAAAAAUAUCCUUCCAAUUACUGAAAAAUAUGUUCACUUGCACCCAUAAAAGUGUUUGCUAAUACCGUAGACCCUUGGCUGUACAAUAUGGUAGCAGUAUCCACAUGAGCAUUUUGGGACUUGAAAUGUGGCUGGUCCCAGUUGAGAUGUUCUGGAAGUAUAAAACACACUGACUUCAAAGACAGUGUCAAGAAAAAUGUGUUUAACGUCUCAUGAAUGAUUUUUUUUACAUGGAUUACAUGUUAAAAUGAUAAUAUUUGGACACAUUAGUUAAAAACAGAAAGUCAGCCCCCCAACAUUUCCAGGUAGAGAACCUAUCAAAGGAGACUGAAGUGAGAAGAAAAAUAGAGUCACAGAAGUGAAGAAAAUGUUUCAAGAAAGGAAAGCUGGAGCCCAUGCUUCUGAGAGGCUGGGAAAUUGAGGACAGAAGAGCAGCCACUGUAUUUAACAACGUGGGGACCUUUGGUGAAUUGAUCAAAUCAGUAUUUUAAAGAGAGGGAGACAGACCCUAAUUAAAAUAUAUUGAGGAGAGAAUGGAAUGUGAAGAUGUAAAGACAGAGGUUAUACACAACUUCUCUGAGAAAUGUUGCUGUGAGGAGAGAGAGAAAAUAUGUAAUUGUAGGAGAGAAAUCCUUGGGAAAGCAGUCCUCCACACCGUGGACUAUUCCAUAGCCAAUUUUAACAACAUAGGUGAUAGGGUUUGGCUCUGUGUCUCCAACCAAAUCUCAUCUCGAAUUGUGAUUGCCACAAUCCCCACAUGUUGAGGGAGAAACCCGAUGGGAGGUGAUUGGAUCGUGGAGGCAGUUGUUACCAUGAUAGUGAGUAUUUUAUAAAGGGCUCUUCCCCCUUCACUCCUUGCUCCCCUCUCUCCUGCCACAAUGUGAAGAAGGUCCUUUUUUCCCCACCUUCUGCCAUGACUGUAAGUUUCCUGAGGCCCCCUCAGCCAUGUGGAACUGUGAGUCAAUUAAAGCAUUUUCCUUUAUAAAUUACCCAGUCUCGGGUAUUUCUUUACAGCAGUGUGAGAAUGAACUAAUAUGAUGGGUGUAGUAGAUGUUGUCAGUGCCUGACCAGAACCCCCAGGCCCUUACCAUUUCACACUAGCCUGACUUCCGGCAUCUCUGCCUCAAAUCCUUCUGCUCCACCAGAGUUGGUUUAGCCCAAGUACAAGGCAGGCCAGGGAGUUAGUGUCUCCCUCUGCCCUCCUCCAGCAACAAUCAACUAAUAGAUAGACAAGAGCUGGUGUAUAAAUAACGGCACUCACUCACUCACUCCUCAGGUAACUGAGGUUUGCGUUUAUACUGUCUCCUAAAUUUCCUCAGCAGGAUUACUCUCCAGUAGCCCAGACUGGGACAUGUCUGAUGAUAUACCCUUUAUUGGCUUCAUUCCCUCCCCUGUCUCACUUCCCCA
rnacentral:lncRNA from 10 species